GCCACAAUGUGAACCUUUUUGGCGAGUGAGCGUAGCGAAGAAAACCCGAUUAUCUUUUUAUCGUUCUAUUACUGGUCGUUUCUUUUUCCCUAAGACAGUUUUACGCUUGACAAAAGCAAGCUUGAUAACGUCUCCUCUCGCAUUGUGACGUCGCUGAUAACUUCUCCUCUCACAUUGUGACGUCGGUAAAUGCCUGGUCUCGUUUUGAAGUCUUGAUACAAGAAUUACGGAGCAACAGAGUAGGGUGAUAUAGGCAGAGGGAAGGACGAUAAUUUUUUCUCUCGGGUGUCUCCAUAAGCUUCCAAUGACUCUGAAAGUUUUUAAGCGCCCUAGAAUGUGCUCGACAUAUACUUGACACUCUGAUAUACGCAAAUUCAUUUUAUUUCUUCUUUUUGCUCGUGGUUUAGCUAUUAGUUGAUGGCGUCUGAAGGGGGUAACGAUAGGUGAUCGACACUGAUAAAUUUUAAGAUGACAUAUUCAUUUGAAAUAAUUUAUAACAAAACCAUUUACAAAGAACAAAUAUGCCAGACAGUAGCCAAGUGAGCUUUUCUCAUCACUUUGCGUCCGGUGUCGUCGUCGUCCGUCGUCGUCCGGUGUUAGCUUUUACAAAAAUAUUCUCCUCUGAAACUACUCGGCCAAAUUUAACCAAACUUAACCUAACUUGGCCACAAUCAUCAUUGGGGUAUUUAGUUAAAAAAAUGUGUGGCCUUACCCCGGUCAACCAACCGAGAUGGCCGCCAUGGCUAAAAAUAGAACAUAGGGGUAAAAUGUAGAUUUUGGCUUAUAACUCUGAAACCAAAGCAUUUAGAGCAAAUCUGACAUAGGGUAAAUUGUUUAUUAGGUAAAGAUCUAUUUGCCCUGAAAUUUUCAGGUGAAUCGGACAACCGGUUGUUUGGUUGCUGUCCCUGUAUUUGCAAUUUUAAAGAAAUUAUACCGUUUUUUGGCAAUUAUCUUGAAUAUUAUUAUAGAUAGAGAUAAACUGUAAACAGCAAUAAUGUUCAGCAAAGUAAGAUCUACAAAUAAGUUAAUAUGACUAAAAUGGUCAGUUGACCCCUUAAGGAGUUAUUGCCCUUUAUAGUCAUUUUUACCAAUUUUUCGUAUUUUUUCUAAUCUUUUACAAAAUCUUCUCCUCUAAAACUACAGGCCCAAAUUUAACCAUGCUUGGCCAUAAUCAUCAUUGAGUUGUCUAGUUUAAAAAAUAUGUGCGGGGACCCUGCCAACCAACCAAGAUGGCUGCCAUGGCUAAAAAUAGAAUAUAGGGGUAAAAUGUAGAUUUGGGCUUAUAACUCUGAAACCAAAGCAUUAAGAGCAAUUCAGAUAUGGGGGUUCAAUUGUUUUGCAAGUCAAGAGCUAUCUGCCCUCAAAUUUUCAGAUGAAUCCGACAACUGGUUGUUGGGUUGCUGCCCCUGAAUCGGAAAUUUUUAAGGACAUUUUGCUGUUUUUGGUUAUUAUCUUGAAUAUUAUUAUAGAUAGAGAUAAACUGUAAACAGCAAUAAUGUUCAGCAAAGUAAUAUCCACAAAUAAGUCAACAUGACCAAAAAGGUCAGUUGACCCCUUAAGCAGUUAUUGUCCUUAACCCCAACCCCCUCCCAUUUUUUGCAUUAGAGUUUCUUAAACAUAUUAUGGGAUAAUUUAUUAAUAUAUAUUCUUUAUAUUUCUAAUGGUACAUAUGUUAUUGGAUAUUCGUUCCAUACGGAAUAUAUACAAUAAAAUUGUCUCAAUAAUAUUCAAAGUAUACACAGGUAAUCUAUUUUGUGUUUUGACACAGUCCCUACAUUUAAAGUCUAAAUUGUCAACCUCAGCGUCGUGAAUAUACCUUUUCGUAACAUGUCUAGUUAAACCAUUUUUGCUUGUUCAAUGACAUAUCUUCUGAACAGAUUCUAUAUAUUGUAUGUUAAUCGCAUGUUUUCUAAAUCUUUGAUAUCGAAAGCAUAAUCAAAAAGAUGUUUUUAUUCAUUUGUUAUAAAUUUUAUGUAGC
rnacentral:lncRNA from 1 species